UUUGGGUUAAAUAAAAAAAGUGUACUGUAUACAGUUGAAAUACUCUAAAAUCUUUAUAAAGCUUUAAAUUGUAUCCAAAUGGAUAUUGAACAGUAUAUGGUUUCCUUAUUUUCUCCAUAUUUUUUUUAUUUUCACAAAAAAUAUGGUUCAUGUAAUGUUUUUUAAUAUUUAAAUUUUAAAUAAAUAAAUAAAAACUAUGGUAAUAAUUUGAUCUAAAAAAAUUAAGCCAUGAUACUUGAUAUAAUAUUUUUUUGUGUCAAAACAAAAGUAGUGUAUUGCAAAUAAAGACCAGUCAAAAUGCUUAGAAAUUUUUAGAAAAGUAUUACAUUAGUCCAAGGUAGACAUCUAUCAUAUUUUUUUUUCUAAUUUAAUUUUUUUUUAUAUUUAUUUGAUUUAUUCAUAACUUGAAUAGUUUAUGAUUUUACUAUUUUCUCUAUUUUUUUAUUUUCAUCAAAAUAUGUUAGAUCUAUGUAAUGGUUUUUGACAUUUGAGCUUCCAAAUAGAUAAACAACUUAUGGUAAAAAUAUAGUCUAAUACAUUAUUUUUGGGGUCAUACCAAAAAUAAUGUACCAUAUACAAGAACCAGUCCAACUACUCUAAAAUUUUUAUAAAAGCUUUGAAUUAGACCAGAUGGACAUAUAUCACUCUUUUUCUAUUUCAGAUAUUGUUUAUUCAUUAUUUGAAUGAUGUGUGAUUUUCUUAUUUUCUCUAUGUUUAUUUAUUUUUACCAAACAUGAUGCAUCCAUGUAAUAUCUUUUAAUAUUUAAAUUUCUAAACAGAUGGAUAACUUAUGAUACAAAUAUAUUCUAAAAAAAUAAGCCCUGAUAUCCAAUAUAUUAUUUUUAGGGUAAAACAUAUAUAUAUAUAUAUAUAUAUAUAUAACUUUUUAUUGGUGAGUGUAUAAUGAACAACAGUAGGUUGAGCUGUCAUACUGUUGCAACCACCUGGGCGGCGUCUACUUCAUCGUGAUACUGUGAGCGUUGACGAAACCAGUCCUCCUCCAUUGCGCCCCUUGGAUGCACCCAUUGGCUGCCAUGGCUUCUUAUAUUUUCUGGCGUUACCUUCGUCAGACAUUGCGGGGUCCAUGUCUCAGCUCACUGUCUUUUAUUUCUCCGUCACAACUUGUCUUAUUCAUUGUUUUUUUCCCUGAUCAUGGCCUUACAUAAACCCUCUCGAGGUUAAUCCAAAUUGAAUUAUUCCCUGAACGACUACCAUACAUAUUAAGUUCCACUCUGUGUGACUCGAAUUAGGAACGUAUUGACUGGCUUGCUUUCCUGAACGACUACCAUACAUAUUAAGUUCCACUCUCUGUGACUCGAAUUAGGAACGCGUUGACUGGCUUGCUUUCCUGUACGAAUACCAUACAUAUAGAGUUCCACUCUCUGUAACUCGAAUUAGUAACUGGCUUGAUUUCCUGUACAGCAUAAAGAGGAGAAACCCAUGUUAAAUUGGGGCGACACACAAUUUGGCUUGGUCGAGGACAAAGACGAAGGUCCCGCUUCCAUGCUGUUUGGCGCCGAGUUCUUAUCCAAGCUUUACACACGUAGCCCACCCGAGGAUCUGACGCUGGCGAGGACCCUUGUGAGGCCUUCUUCCGUGUUCCUCGAAGACCUCGCGUCCAUGCCUCCCUUCUCCCCGUCGAGAUACGGAUCGGUGGAGAAGAUCUACGUGGUGUGCGCUCAGGAUGAGAUCAUCAGGGAAGGAUUUCAGCGGUGGAUGAUCGAGAACAACCCAGUGAAAGAGGUGAGAGUGCUGGAGGAUGCCGACCACAUGCCCAUGUUCUCAACCCCGAAGCAGCUGUUUCAGUGCCUCUCGGAUGUUGCCGAUGCCUGCGCUUGAUACUCCGAAUAACGUGGUCAUAAUAAAGUAGAUUUGUAGUUGUAUUUGCGUUGCAGCUAUGAUUGAUGCAUCAUGGUUUGCUAUCAGAGCAAUGGUGUAGCUGUUUGAUAUAUCAAAUGACACCCAACAAGACAAGAGACAAAAAAAAGGUUUUGUCGA